AGUAAAUUAACAAGUAACAACAUUCCAUGUUUGGACAUCUUACGAAACAAGAAAAAAUAACUGCAUGAAGAAUAAUUUAUUUGGACGAAGGCAAAUGAAGUAUUCUUCAUUUCUGCCUUAAGAGGUCUUCACGAAGGCAGCAAAACGUUCCAAUCCUCCACGAAUAAGCUUCUCCAUAAACGGUUUCAUUAACUGUAAUUUUUGAAACAUAAAAAAAAAAGAUAAUGAGACAAAAUGUUAACAAGAAAUACACACGUAAAUUAUUUACGAAAAAACUAUAAUCAUCCACUAUAUGGAGAAAUAGCCUUACAAAUGCAACUGGAGCUAAAGCAUGUGGAACUUCGAAUGAAAAAUUAAUCUGACAGAAAAGUAAUGAAUAAAUGAAACUAAAAUUGAUCACAUAUGUAUUGAAAGUGAGAAAAAUGGUGACGAGAUACUACUAACCUCUACUAAGCACAAGGAAGGGCCUCUAGGGAAAAAUCGAACACUGCCUCUGUUUUAUAAAUACAGAACAUACAUUUUUUCAAAAUCAAUAAGAAAAAUUGAAAAGAUGGUUAUUUUUGUAUAAACCAAAUUUGAGUUCACCUAUUUGCAAAGCCUUCUAUAGAUCUCCAGUGCAGCUUUCUGUCUGGAAUUGGCUGUAGAGAGAGAUUGCAAGAAUAAAUAAUAUUUAGUUCGAAUUUCUAAUGAACAAAAAUAAUAUAAUCGGAUUGGUGGAUAUUAAUUUAAUACCUGCAAAUUUUUGGCGAGAAAAUGAUAUUCAACAUUUUGUCCAAAAGAAUUGAAUUUUACCAAAUACCGGGAUAAAUCAGGACUACCCUCCACUGCCUAAGAGACGCAAAUAAAAUAUUUAAGUCAGGUGAGCAAGAAUUAAAGCUUAUAGACUCCGUUUCAGAGUAAGGUUUACCUCAACUGAUGACAAAAAUGGCAUCCACUUAGGGAAUAAGUCACGAUCUGCGUAUAACUUGUAAGCCACGGAAGCUGGUGCGUCCACUACCAUCUUUACCCUGUUUCAUCCAGACCAAAUAAUUUUUACAACCGAAUCUCUCUAGACACUAAGUAUCAAGUUUUUGCUCCCUUAAUAAACUUACGCGACGUCUUGCCAGUGUACUUGGCGGAGUCUUUCUUCUUCAAGUCGAUCAGCUUCUCAUCCUCCACGCAAAAAUGGCGGCUAUAAUACGACAUACUAAAGCUAAUGAACUUGCAAAAACAAUUGUGUAGGUUAAGGACGGGUACUUUAUAAACAUAAGGUUAAGCAUCAUAAUUAAAUUGUGUGAAUGUGUGUAUGUUAUAUAAUAAUCAAACUGCAUGUGUGUAUACACUGUAUAAUAUAUAAUAAUUUAAUUGUGUGUGUAUAUAUAUAUCUCGAAUAUAAAUAACAAAAAAAUAGGUAGUGUAUACAAAAAGAGAAGUUAGAAGACAGAACAAUUUUCCAAUUAUCAGUCAUAUAUAUUUUUGUAUUUUAAUUUUUUUUUUUUUUUUAAAUAAUAAAAUUAAAAUACAAAAAUAUAUGUUAUCUGUAUAUGUAAUUUAAAGUUUCUCUAAUAUUAAAUAAGAAAAUGUAAGAUUAUGUUUAGUUAAUUUACUUAUAGUUAUAUAUAAUUAUGAGUAUUUUUAUAAUAACAAUAAAUCAAACAUGAUAGGCUAAUACCUUUUAUUUUUACUUAGACUAGAGGUGAUCCAAAAUUUUAUAAAAUACAUUUACUUUCAACAAAAUAUUAUAUAUUUUAAAAUUUCUAACCCUGUUAAUAUUGAAAUUGAUUUUUAGCAAAAUAAGCAUAUACAUAUGUUAAUAUAUAUUUUCUGAAUAUUGCAUUUUCUUUUCUUUUCUUUUUGUCACAUUUGUGAAAUAGCAUGCUGAAAAUGGAAGAUAAAGGAUGGAGACUGAUAUGAACAAGUUGGUCAAUAUAAGGCAAGAGGCUGUUAGGUGCUUAAAAAUACCUAUAGGCAAUGAGACAUUAACAUGUCCACGUCUACUUUAAGAGUAUGAAAGAUGUUGCCUGCUUCUUCAUUACAAAGAUACACAAAUAUGUAUAUGUAUAACAUUGUGCGUGUGUAAAAUAGAAUAAUAUAAAGAUACAAUAUAUACACAUGUGUGUAUAUAGUGUGAUUGUGAAUAGGAGACUGGCUCUUCAAACUUCUGCCCUCAAUCUAGAGGAUUUGGUAGAUGUACACUUUGCUUCAUUUCCAGUGCACGUCUCCAUAGUCCAUACUUUGCUCCAUCUUCUAAUAUUUAUCCACUAAUUUUCAUCUUUAUAGCUAGCAAUAUGUUUCUAGAAAGAGAGCUAAUAAUACAUUAAUACACGUAGGUACACAAAGAACUACCAACUUAGUUAAACAAACAAUUUGUCAAAAAAAAAACUUAGUUAAACGAAUAAUAUAUCCAUAUGAUACAUUCCAACGGUAUAAACGAUCGCGAACGGGAAAAUAUGUAUACACAAGAGUAGAGAUGUCGGCUAAAUUGGAAAUGAUUAUAGGUAGGGCUGGGUUGCGGGUCAAACCCGCCCUGCUGAUCCGCCAACCCGCGGGUUAUAAAGUUUUUUCUUUUGUCAAAAAAUCCGAUCCGCACAAUCCGCGAACAAAUAAAUUUGUACCCGCACUCGCCCCGCUUAAUUUUGCGGGUAACCCACGGGACCUGCGAAUUAUAUUUUUAUUUAUAGAUUUGAUUAUAAUUUUUGGAGUGUCUUAUUAUGCAAAAUUUGAAAUUUCUCAAAAAGAAAAAAAACUGGAUGAAAAGCUCCCAAUAAUAAAGUUCUUAUGCACACCUAAAGUUUGUCUUAAAAUGCCAUCUCUUAAAUGGUUUUUUCUUCACCCUAGGAGGUCUUACAAUAUCUCUCAUCCUCUUUAUUUUAGUUUAUACCCACUUUGAAAAACUUUUCUGGAGGAUAUGUAUAUAAAUUAUAGUUUGGGACAGUUUAUUCAAUACACGACGAAACAUAUAACAUGUAAAAAGAAUUAUUCUCCACUGAAGAUAAUUGAGAAAAGGUUAAAUACAUUUGUUAUGAUAAAAUAUAGUUAUAUACAUAGUUUCAGUUUUUUAUUAAAGAGAAAACAAGAAGAGAAUGGCCGCGAGUGGGUUAUAUCUAACCUCUUUCGGCUUCUUCAGUGGCCCAAUUCUUUUUCAUGUAUUUAAUAUUAUAGAAAAGGUGAGGUACAAAUGAUUCUUUUUAAUAUGUGAAUAAUUUACUGAAUUACCAAGAAUAUACACAAUGGUGUAGUUUUCAAAUUAAAAAUUUACUGUAGUAUAUUUCUCCAAAUUUUCCCAUUUAGUUUUUAUCAUAAACCAAAAAACCAGCAUUCAAAAUUAUUGAAUUUAGGUAUAUUUAUAUUAAGUUUGAAAUUUUAUUUUAAGAUAGAAUAAUUUGCUGACUGAACGUUUAUAAUCCAAACUUAUCGCUAAAUAUUGUUUCAUAUUUUAUACACAAAAUUAUUUUAUGAGAAAAAUAGAAUAUCUAAUAAAUGGACAGUAAAAUUGUUCAUAAUGAAUAAUAAAAUACAAUAAAUUAUCAAUAUAUACAUAUAUAUUAAGUAGGUUUUAUCCUUUUUAUUAGAUCAUCAAAACAAGUAAUGUACCAAAAAUUGAAUCAUAAGCACAUUUCUUAAAAACAACCAAGAUUUUAGUUAAUUAUCUAUAUAUCAUUAAACAUUGAGUUGGUGAUAGUGAUACUACUAAGCUACUGCGAAGCAUUUUCGUAUUUCAAAUAAUGUGAAAAUAACCUUUUUUAAGUGUGAGAAAUAUUUAGAAUAGAGAUUUUGGUCUAAGAGAAUGUCAUACAAUUUUGGAUAUUAGGUACAAAAACAACAUUAAUAAAUUUAUUUUCGUGUUUAAAUAAUUGGUAUGCAGUAGUGACACCUUUAAAAAAAAUAUUUUUUUGAAUGCCUAAAUAUAUUUUUUAAAGUUAUUCUAGAAAUUAAUAUUGUUUUGCUUAAAUCCAAAUUUUGGAAUACUAUUUUUCAAAAAUUUAACUUGCUUGAAAGACAUCCAAUACAUAUUAUGAUAUUUCAACUCUUUGCGGUUGCACAUACUUCAGAAUAAUAUUUUUAUAUUUUCAAAUGUUUGAAAAUAAUUUAAAACAUAAAUUUAAAAGACAUAAUCCGCGCGUAGCGCGGAAAAAAGAUCUAGUUGCUUUAAAUAAUAAAUAGCUUUGUCACACAGCAAGCGUAUAAUCUUGAAAGAAACAUGUCUUAAUUACUUUAGAAUAUUUACUUUUCAUCAGUAAAUUAACAAGUAACAACAUUCCAUGUUUGGACAUCUUACGAAACAAGAAAAUAACUGCAUGAAGAAUAAUUUAUUUGGACGAAGGCAAAUGAAGUAUUCUUCAUUUCUGCCUUAAGAGGUCUUCACGAAGGCAGCAAAAUGUUCCAAUCCUCCACGAAUAAGCUUCUCCAUAAACGGUUUCAUUAACUGUAAUUUUUGAAACAUAAAAAAAAAGAUAAUGAGGCAAUAUGUUAACAAGAAAUACACACGUAAAUUAUUUACGAAAUAAUUU
rnacentral:lncRNA from 1 species